GUAGGUGGCAAGCGUUGUCCGGAAUUAUUGGGCGUAAAGCGCGCGCAGGCGGUCCUUUAAGUCUGAUGUGAAAGCCCACGGCUCAACCGUGGAGGGUCAUUGGAAACUGGGGACUUGAGUACAGAAGAGGAAAGCGGAAUUCCACGUGUAGCGGUGAAAUGCGUAGAGAUGUGGAGGAACACCAGUGGCGAAGGCGGCUUUCUGGUCUGUAACUGACGCUGAGGCGCGAAAGCGUGGGGAGCAAACAGGGAUUAGAUACCCUGGUAGUCCACGCCGUAAACGAUGAGUGCUAAGUGUUAGGGGGUUUCCCGCCCCCUUAGUGCUGCAGCUAACGCAUUAAGCACUCCGCCUGGGGAGUACGCCGCAAGGCUG
rnacentral:rRNA from 1 species